CGUAUUACAAUGGCCGGUACAGAGGGCAGCUACCACGCGAGUGGAUGCGUAAUCUCGAAAACCGGUCUCAGUUCGGAUUGGAGUCUGCAACUCGACUCUAUGAAGCUGGAAUCGCUAGUAAUCGCAUAUCAGCCAUGAUGCGGUGAAUACGGUCCCGGGCCUUGUACACCGCCCGUCAAGCCAUGGAAGCCGGGGGUACCUGAAGUCGGUGACCGUAACAGGAGCUGCCUAGGGUAAAACUGGUAACUAGGGCUAAGUCGUAACAAGGUAGCCGUAA
rnacentral:rRNA from 1 species